rnacentral:rRNA from 1 species
UACGUAGGAGGCGAGCGUUGUCCGGAUUCACUGGGCGUAAAGGGCGCGUAGGCGGCGGCUUGAGUCCCUGCGUGAAAUCUCCCGGCUCAACCGGGAGGGUGCGCGGGAUACUGGGCGGCUUGAGGACAUCAGAGGAGAGCGGAAUCCCCGGUGUAGUGGUGAAAUUCGUAGAUAUUCGCAAGAACACCAGUGGCGAAGGCGGCGACCUGGACCUGUGCUGACGCUGAUGCGCGAAAGCGUGGGGAGCGAUCCGG